GUGCUCACUUCGGCAGCAUAAAUACUAAAGUGGAACAACACAGAGAUCAGCAUGGCCCCUACACAAGGAGAUGACAGGCAAAUUUGUGAAGUGUUGCGUAUUUUU
rfam:Erinaceus europaeus unplaced genomic scaffold scaffold00068, whole genome shotgun sequence